GCCAUCAUCCCAACCCCCAUCAGUAACAAACACACGCACAUAGUGAGACAAAAGGGGAGAAAGGAAACAGACAGAGGGAGAAGGAGGAAAGAGUUCACCGGCGUGGAGGAGGGAGGGAGCUCGCCGUCGCCGUUGCCCUCACGAGCCCGCCGAACCCGCCACGCCUCGCCGACAGCUGCGCGCCACCGCCAUUCCGUCAACGCUGCAUCCCGUCGCGCUCAUCGCCGCCAUUUCCAGGCGUCAUUGUCAAAUCGCCAAGGGAGGGAGAGGGACGCGAUGGAAGUGAGGAUGGAGGAGCUAGUGUUGCUGUCGAACUAUUGCGGAGCCACCAGAGUCGUUGCGUCGCCGCCGUCAUCCUCACUGCGCCGCCGUCGCCCUUGCCACGGGGUCAGUCGCCGAUCUGGUCUGAGAGAGAGGGAACGUGAACAGAAGGCAAGACCGGGAGCCACCACCACUGCUCGCUGAACCCCAGUGCUCCCUAUCGCCUCUGCCGUCUGGAGACGCGCCGCCGCGCCUGGCCGCCGGAAACCGCCACUGAAGCCGGUGUCAUUUGGAGUUAUCGCGAGUUGCCGCCGCCGGACCCACACCGGAGCUACUGCCAUUCACCGCCGCUGGUGUUGUUCGUCGCCGUGCUUGCCAUUCGGAGCAGAUGCAUUGCUGCUUCCACCGUUCUCCUCACCGGGAGUGGCGCGGGUGUUGCUGGAACCACCAUCGGGGCUGCCGCUACUAGGUGUAGUUCUUCCCUUGUUGCGGUUCGAGUUCUGAUUGCUGCCGUUCUAGUCAUCGGGUGUAGCGCGGUUGUUGCCAGAACCACCGCCGGGACUACUGCUGCUUGAUUUGGCCGUUCUUUCAUAGUUUCAUUAUUGUAUGUUGCGAUUAGUGUUGCUAUGUUUAUUGCAAAAGUGGCUGGGAGCUGAGGUUUUGGUUGCCGUCAGUUCGGGUUGAGGCGAAAAGAACUCUGUGAGGCAUUUGGGUUAUGGUUUCAACAUGUCAAGGAUAUGGACGCUGAAGUCACGAAGAGCUUAUCUAGUUGUUGUCGUGAUGUUUCGUAUCGCUCUAGUUAUUGUUUAUUGUUCCCUCGCCUUUAUCUAUAUGUAUUCUGUAAGAGGGAUAGGAAUUAUAUUGGUUUAUGCUUGUAAUAUUAUUUUAUAUAUAUGUAUAAGUAUAUACUCUGAGAGUUUCUGUAAGUUGUAUUGUAUGUAUGGAUGUACGUUACAUAACAAAAGUAUUUUUGGAGCGGUAUUGCGGUUUAAAGUUUUAAA